rnacentral:tRNA from 2 species
GGCCAUGUGGCGCAACUGAAUAGCGCACUUGAUUACGGCUCAAGAGGUUACAGGUUUGAAUCCUGUCAUGGUCA